rnacentral:rRNA from 1 species
CCUACGGGAGGCAGCAGUGGGGAAUAUUUCGCAAUGGGGGUAACCCUGACGCAGCAACGCCGCGUGAUUGAAGAAGGCCUUCGGGUUGUAAAGAUCUUUAAUCAGGGACGAAAAAUGUCGGUACCUGAAGAAUAAGCUCCUGCUAACUACGUGCCAGCAGCCGCGGUACUACGUAGGGAGCAAGCGUUAUCCGGAUUUACUGGCGGUAAAGGGCGUGUAGGCGGGCUUGUAAGUCAGAAGUGAAAUCUGGGGGCUUAACCCCCAAACUGCUUUUGAAACUGCGGGUCUUGAGUGAUGGAGAGGCAGGCGGAAUUCCCAGUGUAGCGGUGAAAUGCGUAGAUAUUGGGAGGAACACCAGUGGCGAAGGCGGCCUGCUGGACAUUAACUGACGCUGAGGCGCGAAAGCGUGGGGAGCAAACAGGAUUAGAUACCCGAGUAGUC